rnacentral:tRNA from 1 species
AAGAAAAUGACAGAGUGGCUAUGUAUCUGGCUUGAAACCAGUAGAUGGGGGUUCGAUUCCCUCUUUUCUCG